CACGUAGGGCGCAAGCGUUGUCCGGAAUUAUUGGGCGUAAAGAGCUCGUAGGCGGUCUGUUGCGUCCGCUGUGAAAACUCGGGGCUUAACCCCGAGCCUGCAGAUGGAUACGGGCAGACUAGAGGUAGGUAGGGGAGAAGUGGAAUUCCGGUGUAGCGGUGAAAUGCGUAGAUAUCGUUUGGAACGCCAAUGGUGAAAACAGGUAGCUGGGGGGUGUGCUGACACUGAGACACGAAAGCCAGGGAGCAAACGGG
rnacentral:rRNA from 1 species